rnacentral:rRNA from 1 species
GAGUUUGAUCGUGGCUCAGGAUGAACGCUGGCGGCGUGCCUAAUACAUGCAAGUCGAGCGAACAGACGGGGAGCUUGCUCCCCUGACGUUAGCGGCGGACGGGUGAGUAACACGUGGGUAACCUACCUAUAAGACUGGAAUAACUCCGGGAAACCGGGGCUAAUGCCGGAUAACAUGUUGGACCGCAUGGUCCUACAGUGAAAGACGGUCUUGCUGUCACUUAUAGGUGGACCCGCGCCGUAUUAGCUAGUUGGUAAGGUAACGGCUUACCAAGGCAACGAUACGUAGCCGACCUGAGAGGGUGAUCGGCCACACUGGAACUGAGACACGGUCCAGACUCCUACGGGAGGCAGCAGUAGGGAAUCUUCCGCAAUGGGCGAAAGCCUGACGGAGCAACGCCGCGUGAGUGAUGAAGGCCUCCGGGUCGUAAAACUCUGUUAUUAGGGAAGAACAAAUGUGUAAGUAACUAUGCACGCCUUGACGGUACCUAAUCAGAAAGCCACGGCUAACUACGUGCCAGCCG